rnacentral:misc_RNA from 1 species
CCGAGUUGACAAACUCCAUAAACCCUUGUGAACAUUACCCUAACUUAGUUGCUUCGGCGGCGCUUCCGGAAGGCCCGCCGGCGUUACACUAUAACUCUGUUUUUACCCUGACGAUCAUCUGAGUUUACUGUAGCGUAACUAAGUAA